rnacentral:rRNA from 1 species
AAAUUGAAGAGUUUGAUCAUGGCUCAGAUUGAACGCUGGCGGCAGGCCUAACACAUGCAAGUCGAACGGUAACAGGAAACAGCUUGCUGUUUCGCUGACGAGUGGCGGACGGGUGAGUAAUGUCUGGGAAACUGCCCGAUGGAGGGGGAUAACUACUGGAAACGGUAGCUAAUACCGCAUAACGUCGCAAGACCAAAGAGGGGGACCUUCGGGCCUCUUGCUAUCGGAUGUGCCCAGAUGGGAUUAGCUAGUAGGUGGGGUAACGGCUCACC